CCUACGGGAGGCUGCAGUGGGGGAUAUUGCACAAUGGGGGAAACCCUGAUGCAGCGACGCCGCGUGGGUGAAGAAGCGCCUCGGCGCGUAAAGCCCUGUCAGCAGGGAAGAAAAUGACGGUACCUGAAGAAGAAGCCCCGGCUAACUCCGUGCCAGCAGCCGCGGUAAUACGUAGGGGGCAAGCGGUAUACGGAUUUACUGGGUGUAAAGGGGGCGCAGACGGCGAUGCAAGCCAGGAGUGAAAGCCCGGGGCCCAACCCCGGGACUGCUCUUGGAACUGCGUGGCUAGAGUGCAGGAGGGGACGGCGGAAUUCCAGGUGUAGCGGUGAAAUGCGUAGAUAUCAGGAGGAACACCGGUGGCGAAGGCGGCCUGCUGGACUGCAACUGACGUUGAGGCCCGAAAGCGUGGGGAGCAAACAGGAUUAGAUACCCCAGUAGUC
rnacentral:rRNA from 1 species